AUUCUGGUCCAUACACGUGGAGAGCAAUUAUUCUGUUGCACAGACAUUGACUUUCACAUUAUAUUUUACACCGUGUUUUACCAUUCUUUGUUAGGCUCCAAUUCUGCAAUGCUCUGCAUGAGGCUGGAUUGCUGCAUUCAGACAGACUGCAGUGAAGUCAGCCAGCUCAUAACAAAUUAAAAUCGGGGGAAAAGUGAAGAAUAUUAAAUUGGAGGAUCAGAAUGAUAACACGUUUGUUUUUUCAAAAGCAAAACCACAAAAUGUUGCUGGUUGGAGUAGCAGAGACUGGGAUCAGGAAAUAAAAGUACACCAUGGCACAAGAGCACUGCAGCAGGAAAACCUAAUGUCAGCUUAGAAAACCCUGAAUCAAGAAGUGAGAAAGCAACAAAAAAUAACAACAGUAUUCAGCAUCCUCAGCUGAAGAAUGGUUUUGUAUAUGACUACUUUACAUCCUCUGUUUGAAAGCAUAUAUCCAGGGGCACGGAAAUGCAUGGGAAGAAGGGUCAAGUAACAUUUGUGUAGCUCAACCUGAGAGGUCAGAUUAUGCUUCAACUACUCAGGUGUCCACACUGAACAGGAUAUUAUCACUGAAGCAAUGUAAAUCCCUGAAUACUUAUCCAUCACAGCAAACACUAGAAAUAUCUGCUGAAAUCCAGCUCACAAUCUGGCUUUUUUUUUUUUUUGUCUGUUUGUUUUUUUAUUCCCUAAAUGAAUUUCUGAAUCGAUGUUUAGCUAAUAACCCAUCAUUAAAUCCACAAGGUUAUCAUUUCAGCUUUUGAAUGCUGUUUCAUGGUAAAUGAGGCUAUUUUUUCCCAAUAUUAUAACAGUGAUUUGUGCAACAUAAUAGUCAUUUACUCAAUAGCAUUCUGCAGAAAUAAAAUUCUAUACUUUCUGCGGUACAUUUUUAGUGCGAGUUUUCAUGAAAUCCUUACUCCUGAUGGUGAAAGUUGAUUUAUAGCAGAAACUCACCCUCUUCAGGAUUAUUGUCAAUAAACGUGAAGAUGUAAUUCGAGUGAUAAUGAAAGAACAUUUUAUUGAAAAUCUCCAGAGAGUCUGUUUCACAAGAUAUAAUUGGAGAGGGGCUAAGAGUCUCCUGCAUCAAUUUCCAAAUUAAGCAUCUAAGCUAUCAAGAUGUGUAUAUUUUAAAACUGUCUAGGGGGAAAAGAAAAAUAAUAUAAUCAAUCAAUAACAAUAUAGGAUUAGAAUAGAGCUAUGUGGAAAUAGGGACAUGGAAGGGACUAGGGAAGAACUCAAACAUUUCAGUGUACAAACUGCAUCAAUUUUAAUUGUCAAUGUAGUCUUAACUUUUCUUUUUCAUCCGUGUGUUUGAAACUGCUGGGACAGAUCUCCAUGUUUGGCAAAUUGUGCAGCUGUACUGAGUAGCUUGUUUACAGAGAUAGAAGAUGUUCCAAUUUUUAUUUUCUUAAUUUUUAUUUAGAUAGACAAAUCUCCAACAGCUGGCAGAACGUGAGUUUUGCUUUCUGACACUUAUUCUUCAGGUAAUCCUGAGAGCUCCUAAAAUCCCUCUCCUUUUCUAUGGUUCUAAAAUCAUACCUGGAAAUAAAAAAAUAUCUGUUUUGAACAAAUACCAUACCUUGCCAGUGUAUUUUCAAAAAGUUUAUGA